rnacentral:rRNA from 1 species
CCUACGGGCGGCAGCAGUGAGGAAUAUUGGUCAAUGGGCGCGAGCCUGAACCAGCCAAGUCGCGUGAGGGAAGACGGUCCUAUGGAUUGUAAACCUCUUUUGUCGGGGAGCAAAAGACGCCACGCGUGGCGUUCCGAGAGUACCCGAAGAAAAAGCAUCGGCUAACUCCGUGCCAGCAGCCGCGGUAAUACGGAGGAUGCGAGCGUUAUCCGGAUUUAUUGGGUUUAAAGGGUGCGCAGGCGGAAGGUCAAGUCAGCGGUAAAAUUGAGAGGCUCAACCUCUUCGAGACGUUGAAACUGGUGUUCUUGAGUGAGUGAGAAGAAUGCGGAAUGCGUGGUGUAGCGGUGAAAUGCAUAGAUAUAACGCAGAACACCGAUGGCGAAGGCAGCAUACCGGCGCUCAACUGACGCUCAUGCACGAAAGUGUGGGUAUCGAACAGGAUUAGAGACCCCAGUAGUC